UCGAGAAUCUUCCACAAUGGACGAAAGUCUGAUGGAGCGACGCCGCGUGAUCGAUGAAGUGCUUCGGUAUGUAAAGAUCUUUUAUGAGGGAAGAAGUUUAUUGACGGUACCUCAUGAAUAAGGACCUGCAAAACUCGUGCCAGCAGCAGCGGUAAUACGAGUGGUCCAAGCGUUAUCCGGAAUUAUUGGGCGUAAAGGAUGUGUAGGUGGUUGUGUUAGUCGAAUGUCUAACCUCUGUGCUCAACAUGGAGACAGCAUUCGAAACGGCACGACUAGAGUAUGUUAGGGGUAAGCGGAACUCAUAGUGUAGGGGUGAAAUCCGUUGAUAUUAUGGGGAACACCAAAAGCGAAGGCAGCUUACUGGAACAUUACUGACACUGAAACAUGAAAGCGUGGGUAG
rnacentral:rRNA from 1 species